rnacentral:rRNA from 1 species
UACGUAGGCAGCGAGCGUUGUUCGGAGUUACUGGGCGUAAAGCGUGCGCAGGCGGUUUUGUAAGCCAGAUGUGAAAUCCCCGGGCUUAACCUGGGAAUGGCAUUUGGGACUGCAAGGCUUGAGUGCGGCAGAGGAGACUAGAAUUCCUGGUGUAGCAGUGAAAUGCGUAGAUAUCAGGAGGAAUACCGAUGGCGAAGGCAGGUCUCUGGGCUGACACUGACGCUCAUGCACGAAAGCGUGGGGAGCAAACAGG